rnacentral:rRNA from 1 species
GAUGAACGCUGGCGGCGUGCCUAAUACAUGCAAGUCGAGCGAACAGAUGAGGAGCUUGCUCCUCUGACGUUAGCGGCGGACGGGUGAGUAACACGUGGAUAAUCUACCUAUAAGACUGGGAUAACUUCGGGAAACCGGAGCUAAUACCGGAUAAUAUAUUGAACCGUAUGGUUCAAUAGUGAAAGACGGUUUUGCUGUCACUUAUAGAUGGACCCGCGCCGCAUUAGCUAGUUGGUAAGGUAACGGCUUACCAAGGCAACGAUGCGUAGCCGACCUGAGAGGGUGAUCGGCCACACUGGAACUGAGACACGGCCCAGACUCCUACGGAAGGAAGCAGUGGGGAAUCUUCCGCAAUGGGCGAAAGCCUGACGGAGCAACGCCGCGUGGGUGAUGAAGGUCUUCGGAUCGUAAAACUCUGUUAUUAGGGAAGAACAAAUGUGUAAGUAACUAUGCACGUCUUGACGGUACCUAAUCAGAAAGCCACGGCUAACUACGUG